UACGAAGGGAGCUAGCGUUGUUCGGAAUCACUGGGCGUAAAGCGCACGUAGGCGGAUGUGUCAGUCAGGGGUGAAAUCCCGGAGCUCAACUUCGGAACUGCCUUUGAUACAGCACAUCUGGAGUCCGGAAGAGGUGGGUGGAAUUCCUAGUGUAGAGGUGAAAUUCGUAGAUAUUAGGAAGAACACCGAUGGCGAAGGCGGCCCACUGGUCCGGUACUGACGCUGAGGUGCGAAAGCGUGGGGAGCAAACAGG
rnacentral:rRNA from 1 species